rnacentral:lncRNA from 1 species
CAGUUAACAUUAUUCAUGGAAAUUUGAUUAAUAGUAGAAUAGAAAGAAGGAAAAAGAAGAGAGAACACUUCAUCAUCAUCAGAAGGAAAAAAAGAGAGGGAGGGACUCGCUCGAGUAAAAGGAAGGAAAGAAGAAAAGAAUUGAGGGAAAAAAGAAAUAAGAAGAGUGGACCAUUGGAUCUCUUAUAGCCACGUGCCUUCAUCUGCUUCAAAGCUUAGGAAGCUUAGGUAAAAACAAAGCUCAGGAGAGGAUCCGGAUGCAAUCAGGUUAGUUCACAACUCCGAAUCUUUUCUUUUGAACGAAAAUAUCAAUUUGAUUCUUCCCUAUUAAGCUUUCUCCCUUCUUUGUAUCAUUUUGGGUCCUCAUUUCUUUUUUUUUGAGAGAGAAUAGUUCUAAUGUAUGUUCCCAGUUCAUCUUUCUGCUUUUGUUUUCUUUUCAAACUGUUGUUUGGCCUUUUCAUAAAGUCGGGAUUCCUUGAAUUUCUGCUUUACUUCUUCCUGUUCUUGAAAUGGUGAUGAUCGGAAUUAAGGGUUCUGUAGCGGUUUGAUUGUGUUGAAUAUUCAGCUUGUCCAUGAGAAGGCUUUAUUCCACUCAUGGCUAUACACUGUCUCCUAAAUUGUUGCAGGAAUAUGGACACGAUGCCUCUAUUAUUAUUUUUUCACAAGUAGUGAACCAGCUCGUGAUUGAUCCGCUUUGCAGAUUUUUUUACUUCUCUCAUCUACUCUCAUCUCUUGCCCAUCUUUUAAAUGAUGUACUGACAAUGAAAGGCUGGACUAGGUCAUUACGUACCAAAUAGAGAGGUAAAAAGAGACAACCAGCCAGCCAUAAGGCAAGUAAUACUAAAAUUGGGAUGUCAAUAAUAAAGAGAGGUAAAAAGAGACAACCAGCCAGCCAUAAGGCAAGUAAUACUAAAAUUGGGAUGUCAAUAAUAAGUAUUAGCACAAGGCACAAGUAAGGACUUGAUGUGUACGAGUGACUUGUGAACUGGCACAGUCUACAUAUUUUGAGUAUAAAUAGAGCUUCAAAGCGCAGAGAAG